AGCCGUGACAUCCAGCAGAGACGAGGACAGAGCAGAAAUCAUUGCGGCAGAAAGUGAUGGCCAGAAAGCCACCCGACGGGAAGCGGGGCCCCGGGGGCAGCAGGAAAACAGCUUCUGCGCGCGGGGACAGAGCGUCAGCAGAGAAGAGAAAGGUUCCAGGAUCGGAAGUGGUGGCGGGCAGGAUGCGGUCGCCGCAGACCCCGAACCAGGCUCCAGACAAGCCCCGCGUGUGGUCGCUGCACCGGACUUGGGGGGGAGGAAGGGGACUGAAGACACACAGGUUGGAGAGAACACGGGGACAUGAUCACGGGGACCCAGGAAACAGACUAGGGAGGAUAUGAGGACACUGUCACAGGGACCCAGGACCCAAGUUAGAGGACACGGGAACCCUGUCACAGGGACUCAGGACACAGGUUAGAGAGGACACGGGGACCCUGUCACAGGGACUCAGGACACAGGUUAGAGAGGACAAGGGGAAAGCCUCACAGGGACUCAGGACACAGGUUAGAGAGGACAAGGGGAAAGCCUCACAGGGACUCAGGACACAGGUUAGAGAGGACACGGGGACGCUGUCACCGGGACUCAGGACACAGGUUAGAGAGGACACGGGGACAGUUUCACAGGGAAUCAGGACACAGGUUAGAGAGGAAACGGGGAUGCUGUCACCGGGACUCAGGACACAGGUUAGAGAGGACAAGGGGAAAGCCUCACAGGGACUCAGGACACAGGUUAGAGAGGACACGGGGACCCUGUCACAGGGACUCAGGACACAGGUUAGAGAGGACAAGGGGAAAGCCUCACAGGGACUCAGGACACAGGUUAGAGAGGAACGGGGACGCUGUCACAGGGACUCAGGACACAGAGGUUAGAGAGGACACGGGGAUGCUGUCACAGGGACUCAGGACACAGGUUAGAGAGGACAAGGGGAAAGCCUCACAGGGACUCAGGACACAGGUUAGAGAGGACACGGUGAAGCCCUCACAGGGACUCAAGACCCAGGUUAGAGAGGAACGGGGACACUGUCACAGGGACUCAGGACACAGGUUAGAGAGGACACGGGGAAACCCUCACAGGGACUCAGGACCCAGGUUAGAGAGGACACGGGGACGCUGUCACCGGGACUCAGGACACAGGUUAGAGAGGACACGGUGAAGCCCUCACAGGGACUCAAGACCCAGGUUAGAGAGGAACGGGGACACUGUCACAGGGACCCAGGACACAGGUUAGAGAGGAACGGGGACGCUGUCACAGGGACUCAGGACACAGAGGUUAGAGAGGACACGGGGAUGCUGUCACCGGGACUCAGGACACAGGUUAGAGAGGACAAGGGGAAAGCCUCACAGGGACUCAGGACACAGGUUAGAGAGGAACGGGGACACUGUCACAGGGACCCAGGACACAGGUUAGAGAGGAACGGGGACACUCUCACAGGGACUCAGGACACAGAGGUAAGAGAGGACACGGGGACAGUGUCACAGGUAUCGAGGACACAGGUUACAGAGGACAUGGGGACAGUGUCACAGGGACUCAGGACACAGAGGUUAGAGAGGACACGGGGACAGUGUCACAGGGACUGAGGACACAGACGUUAGAGAUCACACGGGGACGCUGUCACAGGGACUCAGGACACAGGUUAGAGAGGACACGGGGACAGUUUCACAGGGACUCAGGACACAGGUUAGAGAGGAAACGGGGAUGCUGUCACCGGGACUCAGGACACAGAGGUUAGAGAGGACACGGGGACGCUGUCACAGGGACUCAGGACACAGAGGUUAGAGAGGACACGGGGACAGUGUCACAGGGACUCAGGACACAGGUUAGAGGAUUCGAGUACAGUGUCAAACAAGACUGACACGCACAGCCUGACACCUGGCAGAACCCACGCUAGGGACAUAGACACAGACAGGCAACCGACGCUGGAGGAGGGGCCAAGGCCGGGCAGCAGAAGGACAAGGUGCCCACCAGGCGGCCCAGAGCCACUGGGCUCCGUGUGCAGAACACACCCUGCCUCGGACCCGCCAUGUGCAAAUGAGCCAUCAGAGUGCAGCCCAGACCUGCAGGGAAGCGCUAACCGGAUCAACCUCUAGAAGAAAACCUGAGAAAUGAAGGGGCCGUGGAUUUGCCAGUACCUCCUGCCUAAGGUACAAACUCCGUUAAAAAAAAAUCUGAAAGCUCAAAGGGACCAAAAUUAGAAACGUUUGCAAAUCCGACGACUGUUAUGAGAAUGAAAAGAGCAAACAUACAGACGGACACAGCUGACAAAGGAUGUGUACCUAGAGAAUCACAAGCACAUGGAACUCAGGGCUACGAAAACAACAGAUGGGUUUUCUCUUUUUCUCUUUCUUCUUGGCUGCCCUGUGGCAUAUGGAGUUCUGGGCCCUGGCCUGGGAUCAGAUCUGAGUGGUAGCUGUGAUGCAGGCCACAGGUAUGACAACAUCAGGUGCCAGGCCGGAGACUGAACCUGCGUGCUGGCAUUGCAGAGACACUGCUGAGCCCACUGUGCCGCAGCAGCAACUCCAACACCUGAUUUUUAUAAUUUUUUUGUCUUUUUCUAUUUUGGGCCACACCUGUGGCAUAGUAAUGCUCCCAGGCUAGGUGUGGAAUCAGAGUUACAGCUACUGGCCUACUCCACAGCCACAGCAACACAUGAUCUGAGCCGCAUCUGGGACCUACAGCACAGCCAUGGCAACGCCAGAUCCUCAACCCACAGAGUGAGGCCAGGGAUUGAACUUGCACCCUCAUGGAUCCUAGUCAGGUUCAUUUCUGCCGAGCCACAAAGGGAACUGUCAAGAUCUCUGAAUUUUAAAAUGGCUGAAAUGCUGAUAGACUAUUAUGUGAAUUUUACCACAAUAAAAUGUUACCUACUUUAUGCUUCUAUUUGUGU
rnacentral:lncRNA from 1 species